rnacentral:lncRNA from 1 species
AGUAGAAAAGCUGCUGUCACAGCUGAUCAGAAUGGUCUCUUUUAAAAAUCAUUACUUUCUUCUCUUGUGUUUUGGUUAACUAGAGCCACCAUCCCUCACCCCCAAAGGAGAACAAACAAAGGACAAAGUUCGGCCCUGAAAAGACAGCAUCCAGCUGGCAGUCCCAGAUCCAUCCUCCACCUGCACUCCCGGCCCGGGUGCCAAGCUGGCUAAGGUGAUGAGGUCCCAGUAUAAUUACGCGGGCAGCUUCCGAGCUGCCUCUGGGAUCCCUCACACCAUUCGGCAGCUCACUGGUUGCCACACUGCUGGCUCCUCUGAAUGCUAUUUCCUGUCUUAGCAGCUUGAUUUCGCUACAACGUGCACAUACUUUACCACUCAUGAAUAAUGCCCUGGUUCAAAUCUGUCACAGGAUGCAGUAUAUUUUGGAAGCCACUUAACGGCAAAGGUGAGUGAUUUGCCUGAGCUCAUAUAUAUUUUCAGAGUCCUACUUCCCACGGGUUUUCUAAACGCCACCCGUGGCUCACAGUCUUUGCCUUGUUGUCACAGUGUUAUCAUUUAACAUGUAUCAAGUAUGCACCAUGUGUCCAGUGCGCUAGCAAAUGAAUAGAAACAGAAUGUUCCUGCCAAGUUGAUUUAUCAUCUAACCAGAGUGAGCAAGAGAAGAAACAAACAGUGGGAGGUGUCCCACUCACGCCGAGGUCAGCCCGCGGUAAAACCGGGCCAGACCUCUUUGCGGCACAGCCUUUUGUUGCCGCCCACAGACAGCUGCUUCUCCAAGGGAGACUAUUGUGGGCUGGCGUCCUACAAGAAAGUCCGUGAAGAGAGGGUGACGUUACUUUCCAAAUGUCUGGCGACUCCAUCCCUCCCUUUUCUGCAAUCGUCGUGUAGGGAAGGCAAAAAGGGGACAAACCUGCCCAAAUACUCCUGCCACUUGUCGCUCAGGAUCCCUUCGUCUGCUUCCACGUGGCUCUCAAGGAGGCAAAACCGAUCGCCAGCAUGUGACGUGCUUGUAGGAUCUUCUCUCACCUCCCCUAUUUCUGAAGCAGAAUCCGGUUAAUGUCAGUUUGGGGUAUGCAGGAAAAGGCCACGGGCUCAGAUGAGGACAAGGCCCCUGCUGGAGCACAGUCAUGUUGACAGGCCAAUGAUGAUCCGUCAUCCUCCUUGUGUUUACACGAGGGAUUAAAUAAAUAAACAGACUGUCCAGCUGCUGUCUGCUUU